AAUAAAAUCCCGAGAGUCUAAGCUUUCAAACAGUAUAUAAUUUAACCGUGUAUUUGGAGGAUUUAAUGCUUAAAAGUUACAAUGAAGUUACAAUGAAGUUGAUGCAGUCUCGCCUCCUAGCGGUAGUGGCUCGGUAACGAGACGUAGACAUGUAACAGGUUUAAACACCUUUCUUUUUCUGCAAUGCUACAAUAAGGCAUGAUAACCUAAAUCAGCAAAAAUAUGAGAAUUUAUUUUUUAUAAUGAGUGACACAAAGCAAAUUUUCAUUAUAAGAUGCUGAGAAAAUCUGAACACUGUUUGUUACAAGAAAGAAGUAAAAAAGAUAAAUUAAUUGUCUUUAACCUUUAGUUCUAGUGUAAUUUAAUUGCUGAUGUGUGUACUUUAAUAUGUUUGUGUUACAGUUUUACACAUGAAACCUUCUCUCCACAUAGCAUUAUCUCUACAGAUGGUAUAAACAGUACAGAACAAUUCCGGGUAUUUAUACACUGGUUACUAGAAGUGACUUAUUUAUUAGUGCAUCGUUUGUUUUCUGCUCUUUUGCACAGUGUUCAGUGUGAGAAAGUUCAAUUCACUUUUAAAACUGAACAUUGUUACAAACACAGAGACCACAGAUUAUUAUCAUCUAAUGCAAUAAGAUGUGAAGUAACACUGAUAUUGUUCUUUGUUUUAUUGGUGACUCAAUUCACUGUCACUGAUACUGUGAAGUGAAGUUCUGUACAAAGUUACACUACAACAGUGUCACUUCUUGUGUGUGGCCUUCUAGAGACGUGUAAAGUUCAGCACAUACAGCACUUAUACAGAAUCGUCACAGAGCUGUGUUCAGAAAUGGCUCAACUAUACAACUUACUGUACAUAGUGAGAUACACACCACUGAUUCUCACUCUAGUUACAGGCAGUUUUGCAGAUAAAAUUGGACCAACGGAUGAAGAUGCCAACAUUGUGGGGAAAGAAACAAAUAUUACUCUGAAAUGUUCAUAGGAGACAAGCAGUGAAUAUGUUUGGCUUUACUGGUACAAACAAUAUCCUAACAGCGCACCACAGUUUUUACUGUAUAAAGGAGCAAGGUCAUAUACUAGUCAAGAACAAGCACAGACUUGUACUGAACUUACUAUCAGAGGUCUAAAGCUCUCAGAUUCUGCUCUCUAUCACUGUGCUCUAAGAGUAACACAGUGAUACAGAGUCAGUGAAAGGCUUUACAAAAACUUAUACCACCACAUCAACGAUCCUCCCUUUACCAACCUGCUAUCAGUUAACCAAAGACACAAACAAUACUUUUUGUAUUAGAAGGUAGAAAGUUUGUUGUCACUUUAACUGCGUGUACAUUUGAUUGCCAAAGGUCAAUGUUUCUGUUACUGAAUCUAUUCUAAAUAAUGACUGUGAGAUUACGGAUGACCCUGACGUUGAAUAAUGAAUGAAUAAUGAAUGAAUGCAAUGAAUAAAUUGUUAGGGUUUAACAGAAAUCAGACAAUAGUAUGAUGUUGUAAAGGUGAUCAUAAAGGUGGCUUUAUGAUCCAACUGAAAGGACAGAGCUCUAUACUGAGACAUUGUGGCUUUGGUCUAGUGGAAUGCCUACACUAUGGUAAUGCUCAGUACAUGUUGAUUUGUAUGCAUCAAGAAAUCUCCUGUCAUAAUGUGCAACAGAAUGUGAACAUAAACCUUUGAACAUAAAAGUAAACGAGGAUAUGGACAAUUAGAAUCUUCUGUUAAACACCUAGAAUCAAGCACACAGAAAGUAAAGGUGACACUGCAGGACUAUAAAAAAAAAAAAAAUAAUAAUCAGUUUUGUCGGUAUAGUCACAUUUCUAGAUGCUACAUAAUGGUGGUGUAGUGAAGUUUGUUUAUGAAUUCCUCACUUUUUAAACUAAUUUCCUUUUUCUCCUGAUGUGAACAAAGGUACCUCUAAAAUGUCCACCAUUUUAAUCCUUUGAACAUAAACACAGUUGAAUGCAGUGUAAAAUGAGGUUUUGUUAAAAUAUGCUUCUAGUGUUCAGUGUGUACAAAUUUUUUCUCACACAGACAACUACAAUGACCUUCACCAGAAGAUGGAGGAAUUCAUAAAAUGUGUGGAUAUCUGGAUACUACAGAAAAGAGAACAUAUCAAUAAAUGUAAAUAAAACAAAUGAACAGCAUUUCAUGCUGCCCAUAUCCCUGAGCAAAGGAAAGUUUCCCACUUAUGAUUUAGAAGCACGGUUUACCACUAAUUUAUUUAUUCUUUGUACAAUAUCCGAGCAGACAGCAUUAAUGUUACUAUAUAACUGACUGUACAGCUGUUCAUUUCUGUGCUCAUUUCUUUGCAUUGGUAAGCAGACCAUAAUAACAGAGCAAUGUACAAUAGGUUCAUGGCCAGCAGGGUGGUUGUAUGUGGGGUGCUGUGUGGUAUACUGCUCUUGCUGUUAGUGUAAGCCUGCGGUCACACUAGAAAGAGAUAAAAGUUUAUGCAACGUUCUUAAUUAUACAUCACUUUUAUAUUGCAAGUCACAGUUUAGAAUUGUAGAAGCCUUAUACGUUUUAAUGUCGUUGCUGCUGCAGAUUACCGUUAGCCGUGGAUAGUGCCUUUUGUACUGAAAAAUAACUCAUUGGAUUUAUUCAGUUCACUUAUGGACAUUGGUUACACACAGUGUUUGCUUCAGAAACAAUAUACUGGUAUAUUUAUAUUCAACCAUCACAAGUACUUUGUGUACUUACAAAGUUAUUAGAAAUUUAUUCCAACUUAGUCUGAUCCCAUUUAUUCCAACAAUUUAGCCUAACAUCAUUAGAAUAUUUAAAAUAUUCUAAUGUUUUCAUAAGUGUAAAAUAAAUAAUGCUAUUAAAUUAAAUGUAAAUA